rnacentral:rRNA from 1 species
UACGUAGGGUGCGAGCGUUAAUCGGAAUUACUGGGCGUAAAGUGUGCGCAGGCGGCCGCGCAAGUCGAGUGUGAAAGCCCCGGGCUUAACUUGGGAAUUGCGCUCGAAACUACGUGGCUGGAGUGUGGCAGAGGAAGGUGGAAUUCCAGGUGUAGCGGUGAAAUGCGUAGAGAUCGGGAAGGACAUCAGUGGCGAAGGCGGCCAAUCUGGGACAAGCACUAGACCGCGUGAAGCACGAAAGCGAUGGGGA